rnacentral:lncRNA from 1 species
CUAAGGCCGGAGCUGUAGCUAUCAGAACCGUCACCAGUGCCUAGUCCUUGUAUUGAAGCAACGGCAAGUACGCCGACAAGUCGUACGAGCACGACAUCAUCAAGCUUUGCCGGUGCGGCGAGAAUUUGACUUUUUUCACCGGGUAGCUGUGGCCGUUGAGCACCGAAAUCGGAGCACUGAUGGAUCUGACGUCCCAAACCUUGAUCGGUUUGUCGACGAAGGCGGUGGCGAUGACGCAGUCGUCGUACUUGUUCAAAUCGCAAGAGAGGAUCUCGAACUCGUGCACCGGGAUGAUGAUGGUGGACCUAGGCUCACGCACGUCCGAGACUCGUGCGGUACAGUCGCCGGAGACGGAGUAGGCGCAGUAGGAGUGCUCCUUGAAGAUGCGGACGGAGGCGGGGCAGAGACAGAGAGAUAGAUUGGUUAGGGUCGAAAGUGUUCAGACGUGAUUAGAUAACG